AGAGUUUGAUCCUGGCUCAGCGCGAACGCUGGCGGCAUGCCUAACACAUGCAAGUCGAACGGAAAGUGGGGCAACUCACUUUCAGUGGCAAACGGGUGAGUAACGCGUGAAUAACCUGCCUUUGAGAAGGGGAUAACUGUCCGAAAGGAUAGCUAAUACCCUAUAAUGUCCUUUGUCACAAAGGCAAAGGAUGAAAGCGAGGCUGUCAAAGGCUUCGGCUCAAAGAGGGGUUCGCGUCCUAUCAGGUAGUUGGUGGGGUAAUGGCCUACCAAGCCAAUGACGGGUAGCUGGUCUUAGAGGAUGGUCAGCCACAGUGGGACUGAGACACGGCCCGCACCCCUACGGGGGGCAGCAGUGGGGAAUCGUGGGCAAUGGACGAAAGUCUGACCCCGCAAUGCCGCGUGAGGGAAGAAGCCCUUCGGGGUGUAAACCUCUGUCAGAUGGGAAGAUGGGACCAAGAGCUAAUACCUCUUGGUCUUGACGGUACCAUCAGAGGAAGGGACGGCUAACUACGUGCCAGCAGCCGCGGUAAUACGUAGGUCCCGAGCGUUGCGCGAUGUUACUGGGCGUAAAGCGUCCGUAGCUGGUUUCGUAAGCGGAUUGUCAAAACCCGAAGCUCAACUUCGGCAAGGCAUUCCGAACUGCGUUACUUGAGUCCUGUUCAGGUAGGCGGAAUUCCCGGUGUAGCGGUGAAAUGCGUAGAUAUCGGGAGGAACACCAGUGGCGAAGGCGGCCUACUGGGACGGUACUGACGGUCAUGGACGAAAGCUGGGGGAGCGAACCGGAUUAGAUACCCGGGUAGUCCCAGCCGUAAACGAUGGAUGUUAGGUGUAGUGAUAACUUCGCUGCACCCCAGCUAACGCGUUAAACAUCCCGCCUGGGGAGUACGGGCGCAAGCCUGAGACUCAAAGGAAUUGGCGGGGGCCCGCACAACCGGUGGAGCGUCUGGUUUAAUUCGAUGCUAACCGAAAAACCUUACCAGGGUUUGAAAUGGUAGGAAAGGCUGUCGAAAGACAGCCGUGUUUCCCUUUUGGGAGAAAUCCUACCACAGGUGGUGCAUGGCCGUCGUCAGCUCGCGUUGUGAGAUGUUGGGUUAAGUCCCGUAACGAGCGCAACCC
rnacentral:rRNA from 1 species